GCCUACGGGGCGCAGCAGUAGGGAAUCUUCCACAAUGGACGAAAGUCUGAUGGAGCAACGCCGCGUGAGUGAAGAAGGGUUUCGGCUCGUAAAGCUCUGUUGGGAGUGAAGAAAGAUAGAGGGAGUAACUGGCCUUUAUUUGACGGUAAUUACUUAGAAAGUCACGGCUAACUACGUGCCAGCAGCCGCGGUAAUACGUAGGUGGCAAGCGUUAUCCGGAUUUAUUGGGCGGAAAGGGCGCGUAGGCGGGUCGGCGCGGCCGG
rnacentral:rRNA from 1 species